UGAGGAACAUGACUUUCGGUGGGGGAUAGCCGGCCCAACGGCCGGGUAAUACCGCGUACGACCUUUUGGGGACAUCCCGAUUGGUGAAAGCAGCAAUGCGCCGAAAGUGUGCCUCGCGGCCUAUCAGCUAGUUGGUGGGGUAAUGGCUCACCAAGGCAACGACGGGUAGCUGGU
rnacentral:rRNA from 1 species